GGGGCCGACUUGGAUUUGACUGCAACUGCGGUAGAUGUACAAGCAUGUCGAGAAAUGCAAUAUACCUCGUGAAAAGUAUUUGUAACAUGAAUAAUUGACAACAAUAAUUCAUACGCGUUGGCUGCGUAAUCUGAACACAGUUUAGAUUCGCUUAGUUCACCCCAAGUUUAGUAAGGGAACCUCGCUGUUUGCCAAACUUCUGAUCAUCAAGUUUGGAUCACAGACAUCAUAUGCAUGAUCUAGUCAAGACGGAGCUGCGACGUUUUGAUGAAAUUAAGUAGCUUAGGUUAUUAUGUGGGGUGUUUGUGCCCAGCUUUUAACUGAAGUUCAAUCACAAAAUAAGCAUGUAGAAACUAUAUAGACUCAUUGUUAGGACGAGGGUUCGAUCCCCUCCGGCUCCACCA
rnacentral:tmRNA from 1 species